rnacentral:rRNA from 1 species
AUGAACGCUGGCGGCGUGCCUAAUACAUGCAAGUCGAGCGAACGGACGAGAAGCUUGCUUCUCUGAUGUUAGCGGCGGACGGGUGAGUAACACGUGGAUAACCUACCUAUAAGACUGGGAUAACUUCGGGAAACCGGAGCUAAUACCGGAUGAUAUUUUGAACCGCAUGGUUCAAAAGUGAAAGACGGUCUUGCUGUCACUUAUAGAUGGUUCCGCGCUGCAUUAGCUAGUUGGUAAGGUAACGGCUUACCAAGGCAACGAUGCAUAGCCGACCUGAGAGGGUGAUCGGCCACACUGGAACUGAGACACGGUCCAGACUCCUACGGGAGGCAGCAGUAGGGAAUCUUCCGCAAUGGGCGAAAGCCUGACGGAGCAACGCCGCGUGAGUGAUGAAGGUCUUCGGAUCGUAAAACUCUGUUAUUAGGGAAGAACAUAUGUGUAAGUAACUGUGCACAUCUUGACGGUACCUAAUCAGAAAGCCACGGCUAACUACGUG